AUGACAACCAACAACCCCAUAAUCAAAUUUCCAGUUAGUCUACUUGAUUUUCUGCGCCUAAAGAAUGCUUUUAACUAUUUACCCUUUUUGAUUGUUGUUGUUCACACGUUAUUGUUACUGAAUCAGUUGACUUAUAACUUAGGGUCCCUAGUUUACUCUUUUGAUUUUUAUAAAUCUUGUUUGAUCUAUUGUUGGUUUGAAGUGAAGAACCAAGUGAACUGA